UACGAAGGGCCCAAGCGUUAUCCGGAUUUAUUGGGCUUAAAGGGUGCGUAGGCGGGUUAUUAAGUCAGUGGUGAAAGCUUCCGGCUCAACCGGAAAAUUGCCAUUGAUACUGAUGAUCUUGAGUAUGAUUGAGGUGGGCGGAAUGUGUCAUGUAGCGGUGAAAUGCUUAGAUAUGACACAGAACACCGAUUGCGAAGGCAGCUCACUAAGCCAUAACUGACGCUGAUGCACGAAAGCGUGGGGAGCAAACAGG
rnacentral:rRNA from 1 species